UACAGAGGUCUCAAGCGUUGUUCGGAUUCAUUGGGCGUAAAGGGUGCGUAGGUGGCGCCGUAAGUCGGGUGUGAAAUUUCGGAGCUUAACUCCGAAGCUGCAUUCGAUACUGCGGUGCUUGAGGACUGGAGAGGAGACUGGAAUUCAUGGUGUAGCAGUGAAAUGCGUAGAGAUCAUGAGGAAGACCAGUGGCGAAGGCGGGUCUCUGGACAGUUCCUGACACUGAGACACGAAGGCUAGGGGAGCAAACGGG
rnacentral:rRNA from 1 species